UUUGACAGCGAAAACCCAACCCCACCACGUAUCCAUAUUCGCCACCAGCUCCCAUCUCCCAUCUUCCAUCUCCAGUUGGAUCUACCGACUUCUCUAAUCAUCUCUCUUCUCAUUAAGAGAGCUCCACAGCGGCAAGCGUGGGAUCGCAGCAAGGAUGGGCAUCGUCAUCGACCUCUCCCUUCCCCUAAUCUUUUUAGCCAUCCUGCUCGGCGUCGGCUGCUACUUCCUCGGGAGGGCGAAGGGGAGGCAGGACGUCCUCACCGGCGCCGGCGUGCAGGUCUACGGCGCUCCCGUGCCACCUAGCGGUGCCGUCGUGUCUUCUCCUCCCCCCACCUAUGUGACGAAGGAAGGGCCAGAAAACAUAUGAGAUAAUAACGAGGAAGAAGAAUGGUGUGCUAAAACUUCAUUUCUUCCCUUCUUUGUGAUGUUUGAUUAUUUUGUGAUACAAUACACUGCACUAUGCGAGAAAAUAAAGUUCCAUAAAUUGCAUGAAUUAUAAACCUCUAAUUUUCCUUCUUUUCUUUUUGAUUAAUUAGGAAUUAAGAUCAUGGGAAGAACAAUUUUGGUUGUUCAUGCAUCUCACUCACAAUCUUGUAAGUGGAGGGAGAAUCGACUCUUGUUACUUACCAAGUAAGCCUAUCGAGGACAUAGACUUGAUUUGCAAGAAAUGUAGUUGAUGAAAUCAAAAUCUAACAUCAACAAACUCUCAUUGUUAUAGACAUUUGUGCAUAGUAUUAGUGGCUUCCAAUAUGUAUCCAUAUGUAUGGCUUAUCAAUAAUAUUAUGAUUCUUGUCC
rnacentral:lncRNA from 1 species